rnacentral:rRNA from 1 species
AGCGGCAGACGGGUGAGUAACGCGUGGGAACGUACCUUUUGCUACGGAAUAACUCAGGGAAACUUGUGCUAAUACCGUAUGUGCCCUUCGGGGAAAGAUUUAUCGGCAAAGGAUCGGCCCGCGUUGGAUUAGCUAGUUGGUGAGGUAAAGGCUCACCAAGGCGACGAUCCAUAGCUGGUCUGAUAGGAUGAUCAGCCACACUGGGACUGAGACACGGCCCAGACUCCUACGGGAGGCAGCAGCG